rnacentral:rRNA from 1 species
CGAGAGUUUGAUCCUGCUCAGGAUGAACGCUGGCGGCGUGCUUAACACAUGCAAGUCGAGCGAAGCACUUCUGUUUUGAUUUUUUCGGAAUGAAAACAGUUUGACUGAGCGGCGGACGGGUGAGUAACGCGUGGGGAACCUGCCUUACACAGGGGGAUAACAGUUAGAAAUGGCUGCUAAUACCGCAUAACCGCUGGGGUCGCAUGACCCUGACGGAAAAGAUUCUAUCGGUGUAAGAUGGACCCGCGUCUGAUUAGCUGGUUGGUGAGGUAACGGCUCACCAAGGCGACGAUCAGUAGCCGACCUGAGAGGGUGAUCGGCCACAUUGGGACUGAGACACGGCCCAAACUCCUACGGGAGGCAGCAGUGGGGAAUAUUGCACAAUGGGGGAAACCCUGAUGCAGCAACGCCGCGUGAGUGAAGAAGUAUUUCGGUAUGUAAAGCUCUAUCAGCAGGGAAGAAAUUGACAGUACCUGACUAAGAAGUCCCGGCUAACUACGUG